UACGGAGGAUCCGAGCGUUAUCCGGAUUUAUUGGGUUUAAAGGGUGCGUAGGCGGCCUGUUAAGUCAGGGGUGAAAGACGGUAGCUCAACUAUCGCAGUGCCCUUGAUACUGAUGGGCUUGAAUGUACUAGAGGUAGGCGGAAUGUGACAAGUAGCGGUGAAAUGCAUAGAUAUGUCACAGAACACCAAUUGCGAAGGCAGCUUACUAUGGUAUUAUUGACGCUGAGGCACGAAAAGCGUGGGGAUCAAACAGG
rnacentral:rRNA from 1 species